rnacentral:rRNA from 1 species
AGCGUACACGGUGGAUGCCCUGGCAGUCAGAGGCGAUGAAGGACGUGCUAAUCUGCGAAAAGCGUCGGUAAGGUGAUAUGAACCGUUACAGCCGGCGAUGUCCGAAUGGGGAAACCCAGUGCAAUUCGUUGCACUAUCGUUAACUGAAUACAUAGGUUAACGAGGCGAACCGGGGGAACUGAAACAUCUAAGUACCCCGAGGAAAAGAAAUCAACCGAGAUUCCCCCAGUAGCGGCGAGCGAACGGGGAGCAGCCCAGAGUCUGAAUCAGCUUGUGUGUUAGUGGAACGGUCUGGAAAGUCCGACGGUACAGGGUGAUAGUCCCGUACACCAAAAUGCACAGGCUGUGAACUCGAAGAGUAGGGCGGGACACGUGGUAUCCUGUCUGAAUAUGGGGGGACCAUCCUCCAAGGCUAAAUACUCCUGACUGACCGAUAGUGAACCAGUACCGUGAGGGAAAGGCGAAAAGAACCCCGGCGAGGGGAGUGAAAAAGAACCUGAAACCGUGUACGUACAAGCAGUGGGAGCACCUUCGGGUGUGACUGCGUACCUUUUGUAUAAUGGGUCAGCGACUUAUAUUCUGUAGCAAGGUUAACCGUAUAGGGGAGCCGCAGGGAAACCGAGUCUUAACUGGGCGUUAAGUUGCAGGGUAUAGACCCGAAACCCGGUGAUCUAGCCAUGGGCAGGUUGAAGGUUGGGUAACACUAACUGGAGGACCGAACCGACUAAUGUUGAAAAAUUAGCGGAUGACUUGUGGCUGGGGGUGAAAGGCCAAUCAAACCGGGAGAUAGCUGGUUCUCCCCGAAAGCUAUUUAGGUAGCGCCUCGUGAAUUCAUCUUCGGGGGUAGAGCACUGUUUCGGCUAGGGGGUCAUCCCGACUUACCAACCCGAUGCAAACUACGAAUACCGAAGAAUGUUAUCACGGGAGACACACGGCGGGUGCUAACGUCCGUCGUGAAGAGGGAAACAACCCAGACCGCCAGCUAAGGUCCCAAAGUCAUGGUUAAGUGGGAAACGAUGUGGGAAGGCACAGACAGCCAGGAUGUUGGCUUAGAAGCAGCCAUCAUUUAAAGAAAGCGUAAUAGCUCACUGGUCGAGUCGGCCUGCGCGGAAGAUGUAACGGGGCUAAACCAUGCACCGAAGCUGCGGCAGCGACACUAUGUGUUGUUGGGUAGGGGAGCGUUCUGUAAGCCUGCGAAGGUGUGCUGUGAGGCAUGCUGGAGGUAUCAGAAGUGCGAAUGCUGACAUAAGUAACGAUAAAGCGGGUGAAAAGCCCGCUCGCCGGAAGACCAAGGGUUCCUGUCCAACGUUAAUCGGGGCAGGGUGAGUCGACCCCUAAGGCGAGGCCGAAAGGCGUAGUCGAUGGGAAACAGGUUAAUAUUCCUGUACUUGGUGUUACUGCGAAGGGGGGACGGAGAAGGCUAUGUUAGCCGGGCGACGGUUGUCCCGGUUUAAGCAUGUAGGCUGGUUAUCCAGGCAAAUCCGGAUAAUCAAGGCUGAGGUGUGAUGACGAGGCACUACGGUGCUGAAGUAACAAAUGCCCUGCUUCCAGGAAAAGCCUCUAAGCAUCAGGUAACAUUAAAUCGUACCCCAAACCGACACAGGUGGUCAGGUAGAGAAUACCAAGGCGCUUGAGAGAACUCGGGUGAAGGAACUAGGCAAAAUGGUGCCGUAACUUCGGGAGAAGGCACGCUGGUGUGUAGGUGAAGUCCCUGCGGAUGGAGCUGAGACCAGUCGAAGAUACCAGCUGGCUGCAACUGUUUAUUAAAAACACAGCACUGUGCAAACACGAAAGUGGACGUAUACGGUGUGACGCCUGCCCGGUGCCGGAAGGUUAAUUGAUGGGGUUAUCCGUAAGGAGAAGCUCUUGAUCGAAGCCCCGGUAAACGGCGGCCGUAACUAUAACGGUCCUAAGGUAGCGAAAUUCCUUGUCGGGUAAGUUCCGACCUGCACGAAUGGCGUAAUGAUGGCCAGGCUGUCUCCACCCGAGACUCAGUGAAAUUGAACUCGCUGUGAAGAUGCAGUGUACCCGCGGCAAGACGGAAAGACCCCGUGAACCUUUACUAUAGCUUGACACUGAACAUUGAGCCUUGAUGUGUAGGAUAGGUGGGAGGCUUUGAAGCGUGGACGCCAGUCUGCGUGGAGCCAACCUUGAAAUACCACCCUUUAAUGUUUGAUGUUCUAACGUUGGCCCCUGACCGGGGUUGCGGACAGUGUCUGGUGGGUAGUUUGACUGGGGCGGUCUCCUCCCAAAGCGUAACGGAGGAGCACGAAGGUUAGCUAAUCCUGGUCGGACAUCAGGAGGUUAGUGCAAUGGCAUAAGCUAGCUUGACUGCGAGCGUGACGGCGCGAGCAGGUGCGAAAGCAGGUCAUAGUGAUCCGGUGGUUCUGAAUGGAAGGGCCAUCGCUCAACGGAUAAAAGGUACUCCGGGGAUAACAGGCUGAUACCGCCCAAGAGUUCAUAUCGACGGCGGUGUUUGGCACCUCGAUGUCGGCUCAUCACAUCCUGGGGCUGAAGUAGGUCCCAAGGGUAUGGCUGUUCGCCAUUUAAAGUGGUACGCGAGCUGGGUUUAGAACGUCGUGAGACAGUUCGGUCCCUAUCUGCCGUGGGCGCUGGAGAAUUGAGGGGGGCUGCUCCUAGUACGAGAGGACCGGAGUGGACGCAUCACUGGUGUUCGGGUUGUCAUGCCAAUGGCACUGCCCGGUAGCUAAAUGCGGAAGAGAUAAGUGCUGAAAGCAUCUAAGCACGAAACUUGCCCCGAGAUGAGUUCU